rnacentral:rRNA from 1 species
UAAUUUUAUUUUUGUUAUUAUUUUUAUAAUAAUCUUUGUUUAAUUUAAUCAUUAUUUUGUUUUUGUAUUUGUUUAUUAUUUAAUUAUUUAGAUUAUAGUUUAUUAGUACUGUGAAGGAAUAUUAUAAAUUUUAUUAUCAGAUUAUUUUUUUUGUUGUACCUUGUGUAUCAGGAUAUAUUUAAUAUAUUUUAUUUAUUUAUUUUUCUCGAUUUUAUAUGAUUUAAUUAUCUAUUAUUAUUAUUAUUAUAUAAAUAUAAUUAAUAGUUAGUUAGCAGCGAAAUGUUUCUCGUUUAUAAAGGUAUCUAGUUUUUCAGGAAAUGAAUUUAAUUCAUGUAUUUUCUUUAAUUUUUUUUAUUAAAAAAUUAUUUUAGUUUAUACUAAUGUUGUUAGGGAUUAGCUUAAUAAACAUAAACUUAUAUUUUUAUUAUUUAAUUAUAUAUUGUGAAUUUUAAGGUUGUUAUCAAUUUGAAAAUAUAAAAAUUUUAUUUUUUUUAUUUAUUAGUUUUUAGUUAAUUUGGGUUUAAUAUUGAAUAAUUAUUAUUUAAUAUCUUAUUAAUAAUUAUAAUUUUAUUAUUAGUAAAUUUAAUUCUUUAAGUUAAAUAUUUAAAAUUAAUUCGGCAAAUUUUAUAUUCGAUUGUUUAUCAAAAACAUUUUUUCUUGCUUUAAUUUUUUUUGAAAUAUAACCUGCCCACUGAUUAUAAUUAAAUGGCCGCGGUAAUUUGACCGUGCAAAGGUAGCAUAAUCAUUAGUCUUUUUAUUGGGGACUAGAAUGAAAGGUUGAACGAAAUAUAUACUGUCUCUUUAUUACUUUAAUUGAAUUUGAUUAUUAAGUCAAAAGGCUUAAAUUUUGUUAUGGGACGAGAAGACCCUAUAGAUUUUCAUAAUAAAUAUAAUUAAGAUCUUGUUUAUUUAUAAAUUUAUACUUAUUUUAUUAUUUGAUUGGGGUGAUUAUAAGAUAUACAAAUCUCUUAUUUUUUUUUAAUAUAUAUUAAUAAAAUUUUGAUCCUUAUUUAUGAUUAUAAGACUAAAAUACCUUAGGGAUAACAGCGUUAUUUUUUUUUAGAGUUCUUAUCGACAAAAAAGAUUGCGACCUCGAUGUUGGAUUAAGAUAAAUUUUGGGUGAAGAAUUUCAAUUAAUUAAGUCUGUUCGACUUUUAAAAUCUUACAUGAUCUGAGUUCAGACCGGCGUGAGCCAGGUUGGUUUCUAUCUAUAAUUUUAAUAAAUAUUUUAGUACGAAAGGACCAUAUAUUUUAAAUAAUUUAUUUUUGAUGUAUAAUUUUAAUUA